rnacentral:lncRNA from 1 species
GGCGCCGGGAGGCUGUUUUUCCACUCACUGGCGCGCAGACUCCAUCCCACUGUUUUCUUCUCUCUUUUCUGGAGUUAGAUUAGUCUGAAGCCGCCACCAGCCCCAGGCCCCCGUGCAGAAGAAAAGCGGGAGGGAACGGCGGAGGCCGCCGCUGCCCUGCACCGCCCUCCUGGAGGCCACUUGGAGAGUCCGGCCCCGAGGAGGCCAUGGCCACAAGUGCCCACAGCUGGCCCCAGGUUGCCAGCGUCGCUACAGCCCAGACCAAGGCAGAAUAAUCUCCGGAUGAGCUGGUGGCACCGCUGAGCCUUUGGUCUCACCAGGGCUUCCUGUUGCUGGCAGGCGGGGUGGAGCGGAGCUGCUGGGAGGCUGCUGGAUAGGAGAGGGGUCACGGCUGCGGAAGAGGAGGUUCUUCGGGACACCCGUGGAUGGACACGGCAAGGAAAGAGCAAGGCUCAGGAUGAUUUAUCCUCUUUUCACUGAUGAGGAAUCUGAGGCCCAGAGAACAGUCAUGAAGUGUGAUCAGACCCUGAGGUCUCCAAAAAGAUAAUGUCCUUGCGAACUCCAGGGAUUCUGGCAUCUUGCUGUACCCACCCCAGCCCACACGGCAGGAUCCUAUCCAAGUCCCUUAUCCACCCGGACACUCACUUUAGCUUUUACACCCUCAAGGCUGAGACCCUAAGGACACGCCCUGGAUCCAAGGAGUCCCUGGCCCCUCUGCUAAUAUGCGCCACCUGGACUCCCAGAGGGAAAGCCGGUCAGCACCCCACAUGCAUUAGCACCAUGGGCCACCCCCAAGCCCUACCCCAGGAGAAGCUCGUGGUGGCAAAAAGAACCUAAGCAUUUGAGGCAGGUCACCCAAGCUUGAAUCUCAGUCUGCCUCUCAUCUGUGACCCUGGCGAGCCACUCGUCCUCAGGAAGCCUUCACUUUCCCUAGUGCACGGCGG